GGACUACUGGGGUUUCUAAUCCCGUUCGCUCCCCUAGCUUUCGCGUCUCAGUGUCAGUUAGCAGCCAGAAAGUCGCCUUCGCCGCUGGUGUUCCUCCCGAUAUCUACGCAUUUCACUACUACACCGGGAAUUCCACUUUCCUCUCUGCCACUCUAGCCGCGCAGUAUUGGCAGCAUUUUCCCGGUUAAGCCGGGAGAUUUCACAACCAACUUACGCAACCACCUACACGCGCUUUGCGCCCAGUAAAUCCGGAUAACGCUCGCCCCCUACGUAUUACCGCGGCUGCUGGCAC
rnacentral:rRNA from 1 species